CUUUACUGGAGAAUGGAAAGUAUCAGGCUAGUGAAAAUGAAGGUUAUGUGGGGCGCUUUGAGCAUGUUAAUGAAGUUGGCCAUUCUGCACGCUUUGAUGAAAAUUAUGAUAGCUCAACCCAUUUAUCGAAGAAUGGAAAGUAUCAAGCCGAGAAUACAGGCUAUGAUAGAGAUUCUGAGUGAGUGAAUGAGGUUUCUUCGGGUUCAAAAGCUAAUGUACUUAAUCAACAUAAAAGCACUGAAGAACAGCCAAUAGCAAGAAAGGUUGUCGCUUCUCGUGCUUCCUGUACAGAGAAAGUUAGCCAUAGAUUAUAUCAAAGUGUAAACAGGGAUAAGGAGAGUGUAAAUUCAUAUCAACCAUUUUGUUUCAAAAAUGAAGAGCGGGC